GGACACCGACCCCAUCUCCUUUCGAUUCACCAUUUCCUCAUGCUCUAAGCCUCUCUCUCUCUCUCUCUCUCUCUCUCUCUCUCUCUCAAACUGAGCUCGAUCAUGGGGACGAUAAUCACAAGCUCGACGCCUAUUUUCGCAUUUUCAUCUUCAUCUCCGGCUAUUCGUAUGGUCACCUCCUCCGCCUGCAGCUCCCACGGCAGUUACCCCGCACUUUCGCCCAACAAGAUCUCCUAUCGUUCCCUGAGUAGGAGAAACUCACGGAUUUCUAGAGGCUUCGGUGUUCGUAGAUUUGCGAUAUCCAGCGGCGUCGUGGAGAUUAGACAGAGUGAGUUCUCCGAGACUGUACUGAAGUCCGAUCGUCCGGUACUCGUUGAGUUCGUCGCCAACUGGUGCGGUCCUUGUCGCUUGAUUUCUCCGUCCAUAGAAUCGCUCGCUGAGGAAUAUGGGGACAGAGUAACUGUUGUAAAGAUUGAUCAUGAUCAGAACCCGCAGCUAAUUGAAGAGUACAAAGUUUACGGGUUGCCAACUUUGAUUCUCUUUAAAAAUGGACGCGAAGUUGCGGAAAGCAGAAGAGAAGGUGCAAUGACGAAGGCCAAGCUCCGAGAGUACGUUGAGGCAUUGUUGGACUCGGUAUCAGUCCCAUAGCCUUAGCCUUCUUUUGGACAGCCUACUGAGUAGAAAUCUGAAGAGAACGACAGGUCAGGGCCGCCGCUGAGUGAGUUGAGCUUCCCUAUUAGAAGGGGUUGUGCGGCCCGUAGGCGGGACUUAAUCUGGUCGGCCCUCCAGAUAAGUCAUAUACUCUACACUACCUCAGCUUGGCCAAACUGCAUCCACUCCUAAGCUCAGGACUAACUACUACCUCGUCAAAUCGGCCCCCUCGACCCAGUGAACCGGGGAGCUGCAUACUCUUUGAGCACGGUCGACGGUACCCACACACUAUCUGAGAUAUGUGGUUGCACUCUAUCUGUAUAUAUAGCAAUGGUACCGUGCUUUGUAUUCUUUAUCUAUAUCUGUCUGUAUUCUUUCCUCAGGGAUCUGAUACUAUAUAUAUACUCUUUUACUGUUUUCAUCAUGUUUCCAAAAUUACCGUAACGCUAUCUUUCUAUACUAUAAAUACUGUAAUCUCUGUAUACUGUAUCUGCAGCAUCUUGAUGCUAUCUCUGUAUACCUAUCUGUAUACUCUGUUUAUAUGCUC